AUUGAACGCUGGCGGCAGGCCUAACACAUGCAAGUCGAACGGUAACAGGAAACAGCUUGCUGUUUCGCUGACGAGUGGCGGACGGGUGAGUAAUGUCUGGGAAACUGCCUGAUGGAGGGGGAUAACUACUGGAAACGGUAGCUAAUACCGCAUAACGUCGCAAGACCAAAGAGGGGGAGCUUCGGGCCUCUUGCCAUCGGCUGUGCCCAGAUGGGAUUAGCUAGUAGGUGGGGUAACGGCUCACCUAGGCGACGAUCCCUAGCUGGUCUGAGAGGAUGACCAGCCACACUGGAACUGAGACACGGUCCAGACUCCUACGGGAGGCAGCAGUGGGGAAUAUUGCACAAUGGGCGCAAGCCUGAUGCAGCCAUGCCGCGUGUAUGAAGAAGGCCUUCGGGUUGUAAAGUACCUUAAGCGGGGAGGAAGGGAGUAAAGUUAAUACCUUGACUCAUUGACGUUACCCGCAGAAGAAGCACCGGCUAACUCCGUG
rnacentral:rRNA from 1 species